rnacentral:rRNA from 1 species
UACGAGUGCCCCAAGCGUUAUCCGGAAUUAUUGGGCGUAAAGGGCGCGUAGGCGGCUUGGCAAGUGGAAGGUGAAAUCCCUCGGCUUAACCGAGGAACUGCCCUCCAAACUGCUUCGCUUGAGACCGGGAGAGGUGAGUGGAAUUCCCAGUGUAGCGGUGAAAUGCGUAGAUAUUGGGAGGAACACCAGUGGCGAAGGCGGCUCACUGGACCGGUACUGACGCUGAUGCGCGAAAGCGUGGGGAGCAAACGGG